rnacentral:misc_RNA from 1 species
UCAAGUGCGGCAUAUUGCCCCUUGGCCGAGGCCCCGGUUUCCUGCGUUGCGUACCUGCACGAUGGCAUCUGUUUUUGUCCCAACGACCCUCGUUCGUUUCGUGGCCCCUCGUUUCGGCGGGGGCACAAGGCGAAACUUGUAGCUUGGUCCGUUACCCACGUCGUGGUGAACGGCGCACUGCUUAAGCUCUCGGGUGCGGAAAGCAUUGAGGGCAUUGACAUAUGUCAUCCUUUGCCCGAGCAUGCAUUAGAUUGGACCCCCAGACCGGUGCACGACUGUCGCUCCCGCCUCGGUUCGGCCGUGCGGGCAGGACGUCGGCGAGGAAUGCUACCUGGUUGAUCCUGCCAGUA